GACGAACGCUGGCGGCGUGCUUAACACAUGCAAGUCGAACGAAGUGGCGAACGGGUGAGUAACGCGUAAUCAACCUGCCCUUCAGAGGGGGACAACAGUUGGAAACGACUGCUAUUACCGCAUACUGAAGGCGGGGAUUGCGUCUGAUUAGCUAGUUGGAGGGGUAACGGCUCACCAAGGCGAUGAGCAGUAGCAGGUCUGAGAGGAUGAACGGCAACAGGGGGACUGAGAGACUGCCCAGACUGGUACGGGAGGGAGCAGUGGGGGAUAUUGCACAAGGGGGGAAAGCCUGAUGCAGGGACGCGGCGUGGGGGAUGAAGGUUUUCGGGUUGUAAACCUCGUUCGCUAUCGAACGGGUAGGUGGAGAAGAAGCGCCGGCUAACUACGUGCCAGCAGCCGCGGUAAUUC
rnacentral:rRNA from 1 species